CACUCGGUGAAAAAAUGGCGCCCAAGGGAAAGAAAACCAAUAGCCCUACUAGCGACAGCGACGAGGACGAAACCUUCUAUUACCGGUAUCCCUCCGCCCCCUCUUCUGACCCGUCGCUGCCGUCGUCUUCACAGUCGCACUUCUCAUCGCAAUCGCACUCACACUCACACUCUUCCACUAAGUCUGGCGGUGGUUCUGGAGGUUUGGUUCCUUCGAAGUCUACUCUCUAUGUUUCCAAUUUCGACUAUUCACUCACUAAUUCCGACCUCCACACUCUCUUCUCCAACUUUGGUAAGAUCGCUCGUGUUACGGUGUUGAAAGAUCGACAGACUCGCAAGUCUCGCGGCGUUGCCUUCGUCCAGUUUAUUUCUCAGGACGACGCGGUGAAGGCCGCGAAACAGAUGCACGGGAAGAUUUUGAAUGGCCGUGUUCUUAAGGCUGCUAUAGCGACUGAUAAUGGUCGUGCCGCUGAGUUUAUAAGGAAGAGGGUUUAUAAGGAUAAGAGUAGGUGCUACGAGUGCGGCGCAAUUGAUGGGCAUUUGUCUUAUGAAUGCCCUAAAAAUCAAUUGGGGCCAAGGGAGCGACCAGAACCGAAGCGGGUAAGAAGGGGUGGAGUUGGUGCUAGGCACGAGGAGGAUUGGGGAUCGGAUGUUGGAGAAGGGUUUGAGGAUGACAAUUGGGCCUCGGUGGUGGACGGAGAUGCAGACCAGAGACUCCUGACUGGCGGUGAGAACAUUGUAGAGAAGAAAAAAAGAGAAGAAAGCAAGUUAUUUCAGUGACGAGAGCGACGAAGAUGAUUAACUGAGCCUGUCUCUUUGGGAAGAGUUUGUAAAAGAUGAGAUAAAGCUUACAGAGUUUAGAUUUUGGGCUGCCGGGUGCGAUAAGUAAUAAUGAGUUACAGGCUACAUUAAGAUAUAUCAAGGUUGGAGACCAAAGUUGAGAGGCUAAAGUCGGUAGUACAAGUUAAAGAUAGGGAGAUUGCAACAGUUACACGAAUAGAAGCCAAAGGUAAGGCUGCUUUUAAAGCUCAAAUUGACAAGCUACAGUAGGAAAAUGUUGAACUCCAGAGAAGGGUUAUUGGCAAUCAGCAAGUAAGAACUCAACAAAUACAUGAGAUGAAGAAGAAAGAAAAGGAGUACAUCAAAUUGCAGGUGAGAACCUACAGGGUAUAGGAAUACCUACAGGAAAGCUGGAUAUGUAUGUUGCUGCUGCUGGCAUAAACCCUCAAAGAUGAAAGAGGCACUAUCAGCAUUGACAUGUACAUGUGAUUUUAGGCAUGAACCAGGAGAGUGAGAGUUUUAGUGUGCCGUGUUUAGAAUUUGCCGAUAUCUUUUUCCCGUUCCAGCAAGUAUUCCUGAUUGUGGGGAUUCUUCCAGUAAUGCUAGAUAUUGGUACUAACAACGAGAAGUUACUUAAUGAUUCUCUUUGAUUUAUUGGAGUUGAGGAGUCCCACAAUCUUUAUGUUCUGUUUGUUUUUCCAUCACUUUUUCAAGGCUGUUCAAUUGGAGUUCCAUCUUCAGAUGGAAGUCGUAUUCUUGGCCUCGGUGACCUUGGAGUUCAGGGAAUAGGAAUACCUAGAUUGGAGGGAGAAGAGUAUCUAUCUAUUGUUGAUGAAUUUAUGGAAGUCGUGGAUACAUGUUGGCCUAAAGCUAUUGUUCAGUUUGAGGAUUUUCAAAUGAAAUGGGCUUUUGAAACAUUACAACGUUAUCGUAAGAGGUUCUGCAUGUUCAACGAUGACAUACAAGAACAAGGAUGAAUAAUCAAUGAAAAAGGAAUGAAGAGGUUUAUCCAUGCAAGCUUCAAACCAAAGCCAAGGAUGUCGAUCCUUCCAGGGGAGUCCAAAGUUCUCCCUUAUUUUUCUCCCUUUAUUUUGAUUUUCAAAAGUUUGCAAUUUUUUAAGUGGGGGUGGGCAAUUGCUUGCAUGUUUAGUCUAAACUUGGAGGUUCAAAUUUUGCCCAAAUUUCAAAAUUUCUAAAAAAAAUUUCCUUACAAUAAUGAGCACUAUACCUUCUUAGAUUACUUAGAUCUUGCAUAAAAAGCAUGACUAGCAACCCUUGAUCACUGAGCUUGGGUUUGUGAUGUAAAAUUCUGAAUGUUGAUGAGUAUAUGUGCUGAAAUUUGAGAAUAAGCUGCCGUGUUUUUUGGUUUAAGCCCAUUUUUAGCGAUAUCUUAUGGAGAUGUGAAUGCAUGAUUGAGAAAAUGGUAUGUGUGUUGUGAAUGCUUGAUUGCAUGCAUAUAAUAAAUAAGUGCAUGGAUACUUUUCUAGCUUUGUCUUCCUUUGUUUCUUUGCCAUGACUUACCUAUGAUGCGCUUAGUCCAAACCUAGCCUAGAUAGAGUUAAAAAAGGAUAGGAGGUACUCUUUAGAAAUUGAGAUGGUUUUAACAAAUUUGUCUUGUCAAACAUGAGUUUGGAGCCUCUUGUCUAGCCACAAUGAACUAAAUCCCUUUAGAAAGGGUGGGCAUUAACAAAUCUUGUUGUCACUUCGAAGGGAGCAGUCAAACUUAGAAACUAAGUGUAGAACCAUAGAAAGGUUACCCCAUCGGUUAUUGUGUGCGUACCAAAGAAAGAAAAGAGAGACUUGCAAAUGUAAAACUUAAGACAGCGAGACAAUUAAGAGCUAAAAAAAACAAAGAACAUAUGCAUUAUACAUCAGAAAAAUCCCAUAAAAAAAUGAAGGGAAACUUCACUUUUGGCCUAACCAAAAGCAGACCACCUACUCUUAGCGUUCUAGACAUAGCAUUGAGUUUGAUGAGGGCUUUGAAAAAGAGGAAUCCUCCCCGUUCCACACUAGGGGAAAAACGAGACUUGUCACUCCGAAGGGAGCAGUCAAACUUAGCAUUGAGUUCAAGGUAUCCUUCUUAGAUUCUUGAAUCAUGACUACAUUAGGACUACAUGAGCACCAUUGUUAUGGAUCAAAAUAAAGUUCCAAAUGUUCAUCCAAUCGUGCCAUCAAAUGUGUCAGAAGGAAAUAUUCAUGUUAGCAUUGGAAAGACGUCAAUAGCAGUGGAAAGAAUUGAAGAAAAAAGUGAAACAAAAGUGAAUGGAGACAGGAAAA